GGAAUUAGCUCAGCUGGCUAGAGCGCCUGCUUUGCACGCAGGAGGUCAUCGGUUCGACUCCGAUAUUCUCCACUA
rnacentral:tRNA from 1 species